rnacentral:misc_RNA from 1 species
UCAUCAUAAUUCAGAUUAUUAGCCAUGGAAGAUCACUGCAACUGCUAAAUACUUGAUUGCUAGAGAAGGUAUAGCUUGAGCAAGUUUGAGAUAAAGACGAUGGAACACAUAAAGAGAGAAGCAGAAUACAAGAGAACAAAGCAGUUCUCAAAGAUCUAUCCAUGGCUAAUAAUCUGAAUUAUGAUGAAAACAGACGAUAUCGAUUGCAGAGGUCUGAAGGGAUUGAUCCUACCUUAAGGGAACAAGUUUUCAAUAUCUGGGUACGUACUGAAAUUGUUCCCUGAUGAAAGCUGGUUUGAGAGUUGUAGAUCCAGAAACUUGAAAUGGUAUUAUAUAUAGUAGUCUGUGAGGACCAUUCAAGAAGGGAAAGCUGGCUUCUUAGAAGGGUUGUGGUUUUUUUGACUAAUUCCGUCUUGGAGUUG